rnacentral:misc_RNA from 1 species
CAACAACAGCUUCCAUAAGCUCAUAAACAUUAACCCAACCUUCAUCCUGCUGCGGAGGGGAAUAAGGGAAUUGACCAGUUGCACACUCGAGCAGUACUAAACCCGGGCUCCAAAUGUCACUUUUGUAGCCAUACUUUCCUCCGCUAAUUCUCUCAGGAGACAUAUAGUUGUAUGUACCAACAAAAGUAUUGGCCUGUCCAGAGGUGUUUGCCAUUAUUGUACUCACACCAAAGUCAGUAAUUUUGACUUCUCCUCUAUGAUUCAAUAAUAAAUUAGAAGGUUUUAAGUCCCUGUGGAUAA